UAAAAACCGGGACAUUCAGUUAGAGAAAUCUAUUGUAUUGGUUUUUUUCUCUUCGUCUUCCUCCAAGAUCCCUCCUUUAUCGGUUUUCAGCUAACCAGACUCAGAUGCGGCAGUUUGCGGUGGUUUUGUAUCGUCGUAGCAAAAUUAAGCCGGAGAGAAUCUCAGUCAAAGACUCCGAAAGAGAUAAAAGAGGUGAGUUUUUAAGUGAUGUUCAGAUAAACUCUAUGCAAACAAACUUGGAAUGGUUGAAAAAGGAAUCUUGAUGCUUUGUGUGUUUUAGUAGACACAACUGUCUUCAUAGAGUCCUUAUGAAGUGUACAAACUCUUCUAGCGAGUUGUGUGAAGAGCCUCCACUUUUAACAGAGGCUCUAAGUUGCUCUUUUAAACUGAAAGCUCUCUUCCUCAUCUCCUCUCCUUCUUCGUCAACCAUUAACCUCUUCACAGCUCUCUCGACCACUCCUCUGUCUAGCUCACCCUCCACUUGAAUCCCAAUUUUCCAUACACACUCCAAGUAUCUAGCGUUCACCUUUUGAUCACCCGAAAAUGGCCUGCAGAUCAUUGGAACUCCUUGGCCGAUGCUUUCUAGUGUCGAGUUCCAUCCACAAUGGCUCCAAAACCCUCCUACUGCAGGAUGAGAAAGUACUUCCUUCUGUGGAGCCCAUUUCACAAUGUAACCUCGGUCCAAAACCAUCUUACUAAACUCUUCAGGCAUGGACUCUAUCCACUCGGAACCAGGUAUUGACCCUGGUCGGAUCACCCAUAAGAAGUGUUGGUUGCUAGCAGCCAAUCCUGACGCGACUUCCAUUAUCUCGUUGAUUUCCAUUAAAGCUAUGCUUCCCAUGCUUAUGUAUAUCACCGAGUUUACCUUUUGUUUGUUCAACCAUUCGAUGCAGCUCUUGUUCUCUUCAAGCAGACUUGUAGGAGCUGAGGCCACCAUGUGAAGAGGGCCUAUAGGAUACACUGGAAUUUGUAGCUGUUGUUGUUGCAGAAAAGACAGAGAUGAGCUCUCUAGACAGCUCGCAGUGUUGAUUAUCACCGAGGAAGCUGUCCGUUUGUCAACUGUAUUCCUAUACACCUCCAUUAUGCUCUCUAAUGAUGCAAACCGUGAAACUGGAAAGUCUUUAUAUCUCAAGGGAUAAAACUCCGGAACUAGCUCUUCUUGUUGUCCUUUAGUUUCUGCAAAAAAGGUCAAAAACAAUGCUGUUUCAAUCUUAUAGCCACUCGCGGAAACCACGAAACAGAGAGUUUUAGAGUACCUUUCAAGGGAGCUUGGACAUUGUUUGCAUAUAGUUUGUCAAAUACAGAGCGGCAAGCGAAAGCCGUGGCACUUGUUGUGCUGAAAAUGAUGUUUGGAAGCUUACACUCUUUGGCUGCAGCUUCAGCAAAGUACAUGAACUCAUCGUAGAUGACACAUGAGAUCUCAUUACUUUGUUGCAGCACCAACUGACCCAAACAGUCCUUGAAGCUCACCUUACACUCUUUGUUGAGCUUAAACAGAAACUGUAUUGGUCCGAGAUUCUUGAAAUCAGACUCUGGUAAGCUUUCUGGAAUGGUGACGAACUGAAAAUCAUGAGUGAAGUCAUCUGAAGGGCUAAAGUAAUUGAACUUAGUCUGAACAACUGUGAUCGAGAAACCCUUUAAGUGAAGGGUUUUGGCAAGUUGCAUCAUUGGAGAUAUAUGUCCUUGUGCUGGAAAUGGAACCAACACUACGCUUCUCCUUGCAGGCUUUUCCUCCAUUCCCAAAACCUGCAUGAACUACUAAUUAAAAGUAUCCUGCUCAGCUUCGUGGUUCGCGGUUUCGAUCACUUCGGUAACCGAUAUAUAAAGUAUCUGACUCUCGAACGUUUUGUUGGCUCUCUUCGUCACAACAUGUGAAUCAUGUGGUGGAUGGUGUUACAUUUCUUUAUCUUGUUAGAGAGUGGUAACCAAAGAAAAGCAAAAAUGCUAUUGUCUUCUUGGUUCUCUUGCCGCAUUUCGCUUCAUGUCAAAAGAGGCUUCAAACAGAAAAAAUUGUCUUUUUCUGGUGCAGCAAUCUAUAUUGAGAAACGUGCCAAAGGAGAUAAACUCGUGUUUGAUUUGAAUUGCAUCAUAUUUGCAUUACAAAAUAGAACACGUACACUUUACUCUCUAAGUUUGGCAUGUUCCAUACAAUUCAAUGAUAGGAAUAUCAGGUUCUCACACUUGUGUACAUUGAUUCAUUCAUGUUGCGUUUUGUCCCUAACAGUUUAGUUAUUGCGUG